AGAGGCACUUUCAGAAGGGAAGGACACUCGCUUCAGAAAGGACCAAAGACCUGAAUUGCAAUAAAAUUAAGAUGUAUUUUUUUCUGGGUGUCUACAGACUUAAAAUCAGGUCCUGCAGUCCUAACUCAGUGCUUCCCAGCAGGAAACUGCUGUUGAGAUCCAGCUGACCCUUGACCACAGCUCAAGACCCCCAGACUGUUAGAAGAUCUUUUAUCUCCAAGGAUUGACCUGAGUCAUCUGACUGCAAUGGACCUAAUGAGUGACCUUAAUAGCUGCAAGUUUCAAGAGCUCAGCUGGAGAACACUGCCUAUUAGUGAAUUAAAAAAACACAUUUGUAACUACUUUAAGAAAAUGUUUUGAUCAAAUAUAUCUCAAUUUUAUUCUGUAUUUGGGAUCUCAUACAACUGCUCUAUGUGGUUAUUUUUUGUUAAUUAAAAGUAUGGUCCAGUUUGCUUUCAAAGAUAAGUGUCUGAUUUAUAGCCAGUAAAUGGUAUUUUUAACACACCACAUCGCAUACGGUUCAAUAUCUAAACAUGACAUACAGAGUUUAGAGUGAAGUUCUAUGCCUUGCUUCUUAAAGGUUUACUUGUGUUCAAUCUUUACUUUAGCGUAACCUGAAUCCUCUUCUUGAUUUAAUAUGUGAUAUAAUGUAUGAUCCCAUGUGCAGUUACACAGGUAUAGUACUUUUCCCUUGUGCCCUGAGGAUUGUGAGUCUCUCAGAAAGCUUGAGACUGCUUAUCGGGAGACAUAAUAGGGAAUCUAAUCCCGGAGAUAAAAAUGAUGUGGAGUGUGGAUAUGGAGGAGGGAAGAGGUGCUGCAGAAUCCAUUUAAUUGCUUGAAUGACACUGUAUGCUCUUCAAUUUAUUAAAUUUAUCUACUUUGCAUGGCCAGUUUACAUGACUGGAUAAACAUCUUGUUUUGCUGUUUUGAUGGCAUCAUAAAAGGGGAGGGACUUUGAAAAAAAUCUUAAAGACUGCAGUAGUGUUGUACUGAUAUUUUCAAUUUCUUUCCCAUUCAAGUAAAAACCAUGAAGAGCCACAGUGUGGCAUGGAUUUAUAUGCAGCACACCCAGUUGAUUUCAACAGGGAGUGCUUUGAACAAUCAAUGGUGUGACACGCCACAAAGAGAGAGAUUAAAAUUUUUCCUACUAUAAAACAACAAAAUACAUUAACUAUGACAAAUUACAAAUUGGUCUUUAACAUUCAUUUAGGUAUUUGUGUGGAUUGCAGCACAUACUACUUGGAAGUCAAAUAAAAAUCAAACCAGUGAAAACAGACCCCAUUUCUUACUUUGCAAAAGCAAAACGAUACAUAAAAGACAGGCAGUAGGAGAACAGGAUGAAAACAAAGGUAGUAAAGCCACCCGAAGAUUUCAAAAAAGCCUAAAGUAGGUAAAAGCAUCACUAAUAGAUUAAGCAAGUGAAUGUAAAGUUGGAGUUAUAUGUAAAUAUUGCAAACAAAAAAAUUUCACAGUGAGCUUUACAAAGUUAUAUAUGUUUACUGUUAGUUAUGACACAAACACUAGAUAUUCAUUUUAAUGAGAAAAUGUUGAAGGGGGACAUUUGAGAUGCUAUAUACCUUCUGACAGAUACCAGCUUCAAAAUAUUCUCUUGGAUAGUCACCAGAAGAUCAAAGAUAAGCCUUCAGUGUAUUUCCUGUUAUACUGCAGAAGCACAAUUAUUAUGAACUUGGAAACAAAUCUCAAAACAUAAAUAUUCAAAGCUAUGAACACUGAAUACCUCCAAUGGGGAUUGAUGUAGUGUACCAGAAUGUUUAGCUUCACAAGCAAAAUAAAAUUAAAAUUACUACAGUUAAUAAUUAUACAUAGCUAAAAUGCUUACUCCACCCUCUCCUUUUUUUCUGAUUUUAGGGCUUAAGAAAGUGCUGAAUUAUUUUAGCUUGUCCCAACAUAGGGCAUCCAGCAAAUAAUCUUGCUUCCUAAAACUAAUUUCAUUAAUUUUUUUCAAAUCUAAGUCAGAUACAUUACACCAAAUUCACUUACAGCCCCUUGUCUCAAUGAUGAACUUUCCCCAGUGAACACUUUGAGGGGUUCUCAAUAUCUGUUACAUUUAUGGUCUGUCUGCUGAGGCAUACAAAAAGGUGGCUAGUUACUGCUAUGCUGAUACGUUUAGUGAUAGUGUAACCGGUGCACUUGGAAACUGUUUGAUAGCAACUCCCUAACUUUGCUAUUCACCAUUUUUGAUUCAGUGAAACAAAACAUUCAGACACUUCAAAGACUAGAAAGAUGAUUUUUUAUCUUGAAAAAUAUAAUUGCUGAUUUCAACUGUGGUGUUGAGAAUAAUUUUUUGAUGUACUUUUUAAAAUGCUUCCACUUCAUCAGCUUAUUUGAGAAAAUAAAGUAUUGGGUUCUAUUUUCAAGAAAAGCAACAGAACUAAAGACAAAAUACUGCUGUCUACACAGAAAUAUUUUUCAGUUUGUAGGCAACUGAAGUUCUAAAAAUAAUGUUCUGUAUAUUCUGUUAUGGCAACUAAAUACAUAUGUUUUUAAAGGAAAUAACACAAGUUUGUACUUGGACACAAAGCAGAAAUGUUGAGGACCUAAAUAAAACAUAGAAUCAUUUAUGCAAAAUUUUUAUAAUUUUUUAUAAUUAUUUUGUAUUAGUCUUACCUCUCAAUUUUUUUGGAUAAAUGUACAACCUUCCUGGGGAGUACACUGCUAUGAUCACUUGAUGUUAUGACCUCUUUUCAAUUCCCAGUUUUUACUAGCAAUUAAGUGAGCUUGCCAAAAGUGCUGUCCAUGGACAGUUGCCAUAUUUUGAUUUCACAAUAUCAGGAAAAAGAUGGAUUCAGGAGGCACUCUAAACUCAUCUCUGAUGGUCAAUGCUUUGCUGAGAAAAGGACCACCAGUGUUACUCAUAAAUUAAUGAU